rnacentral:rRNA from 1 species
GACGAACGCUGGCGGCGUGCUUAACACAUGCAAGUCGAACGGAAAGGCCCUGCUUGCAGGGUGCUCGAGUGGCGAACGGGUGAGUAACACGUGGGUGAUCUGCCCCUUACUUUGGGAUAAGCCUGGGAAACUGGGUCUAAUACUGGAUAGGACCAUGCUGUAGGUGGUGUGGUGGAAAGAUUAGUUUCGGUAAGGGAUGAGCUCGCGGCCUAUCAGCUUGUUGGUGGGGUAAUGGCCUACCAAGGUGUCGACGGGUAGCCGGCCUGAGAGGGUGGACGGCCACAUUGGGACUGAGAUACGGCCCAGACUCCUACGGGAGGCAGCAGUGGGGAAUAUUGCACAAUGGGCGCAAGCCUGAUGCAGCGACGCCGCGUGGGGGAUGACGGCCUUCGGGUUGUAAACUCCUUUCAGCCAUGACGAAGCCCUUGUGGUGACGGUAGUGGUAGAAGAAGCACCGGCUAACUACGUG